rnacentral:tmRNA from 1 species
GGGGUCGACUGGUUUUGACAGCGAGAUUAAUUGGAUGGUAAGCACGUCGUGUAAUGACUUUGAAACACGUUAAAGACUAGGUCAAAAUUUAAACGGCGAGAAUAACUACGCUUUAGCUGCUUAAUCUGAAUAAAGUAAGAUAAGCCUCGGCACACCAGGUGUGCAAGCUAAAUGUCUCCUGAAAGCCUUGGUUAACGGCGUUCUUUUGUGAGGCAUCGUAAAAGUUAACAUAGAUUGUGUGGUGCUUUGACACACUUUUGAAAUUAAAAAGCUAAGUUAUAAAUAGGUUGUCUUUAACCAGUUUAUAAUCGAAAAAACAAGAAAAGAAUAAACGUGUAGAAAGCCUUUUGGUUACUUGUUUGGACGAGAGUUCGAUUCUCUCCGACUCCACUU